AACCGCCCGGUGCGGACCCGCAUGCCGGGUGGUGUGGCAGGGGCGCAGUUCAUCAGAACUGCCCCCUAUGCCUAU
rnacentral:misc_RNA from 1 species